rnacentral:lncRNA from 1 species
GUAACUACAAAGCAUUACAUGUCUCAUAUUCUGUUUAAUAAUCUUACUUUGACCUCUCAUUUAUUCUAAGUUUUUAGCUCCUUGGAUAUCUUUUCCUCCCAGUGUUAAUGGAAUUUCAGCACUUCGUCUUAAAAUCCAUGGGUUCAACUAACUAUGCUGAACAAGAUAUCUGCAUAAGUAGAAAAUUUAUCCCUCUCUUUUGCAGCUGCAGGAAAAAUGUUAUUCCAGAUCAUAAACCCUCCUUGCAAGAAAAAAGUAUUUUGCAACAUCUAGAAUUUAGAUAUAAUUGCCAUCUAGAGUGAGCAAAUCUCAAACUCUGAAAUAUCUAUCAUUUUGAUUGAUUGUAUUAUUUACCAAUGUGUUAUGCCCAGGUAAUAACAUCUCUGUUGUCAAACGAAAGCUAGAAAGAUAUUACACAAAGGUAAAAUAUAAUAAAUCAACUCUGGUAGAUGUCUUAAAGUGUUUUGUUUUUUGCAUUUCCAAUGGCAGAUGAAAUCAGGGCAAGAAACCGAAGUAAUGAUUACUCACAAGUAAGAAUACUUGCUUGCUGAACACUUGCUGAAGACACACUUAAUAAUUUGAAAUUGUUCAAUCAGCAUCAUACAAUAUUAUUAAAAUUAACUAAUAUAUCCACAUGCACUAUCUAAAUGCCAAACACCAAGAAAAAAAUGCAGCAGAGCACGAAAAAUAAUUUUUCAUUGGAAACAAUUUCUCAGCAUUUUCUUACGUACAAUGAAAGACAGAAGACAACAAAGAGAAACCCCUUUAAAGAUUACAUCCCUGCUGAAGAACUCAUAAUGUCAAACACAUUCUACUUCAUCACAACAGACUGCCUUACUGGCCCUAAAUGUCACUUAAAGAAAAUGAUAUCCACCCAACAGGGGCUUGGUUUUGCUUAUUGAGCCAUUGGUGAUCAUGGCCAUUAACAUUACAUAUAUACUGGUAAGUACUAGCGAAGCCCCAUUGCCUCUUGGGAUUCAUCUCAUAGCAACAGGUCUUAAUUUUAUUUCCAAGCCAUAUCCUUAGAACACUCUCCAAAGAGUUUUCAACAGGACAAAUGGGUUGAUAUGGUUUGGGUAAUUACCAUUAUCUCAGAAACUUGUGGAACCACACCAGCUGAAAACGAUAUGUUAUCAUUUACCCUCUUGCAGAAAAAAAUAUAUUUUUGAGAUAUCCCAAACUGAUUCUCUCAAAGACACAAAAUCAUUAUCCCUAUUUUUGUGUUGUGUGUAUCCAUGACUAAUUAUGAUAGAAAAUGAGAGUUUGAGAAAAAAACACAACCAUUAAAAUUGCCUAUGUCAAUUUUCCCCUCACAGUAGGAUCAGACCAGCCUCCACGAGGAAUCUAGUUAUUUAUUUGGCAAUCUGGCUCUUCAGGUUUGGGAGGGGAAGAGUUUCCGCCUGAGACAAAGGAAGAGAACAAGUAGUGUGAGGUAUUGCAGAGCCAAUGAGAAAAUGAAAAGAUUCCAGCUGAGUGGGAUUAAGAGCAAAUUCUAAGUCACUUGGGCUAAGGUGGGACUGUGGUUGAGAUGUGAUACACCAUGUGAUAUGAAAUUUAGAGAAGAGAGAAUUGGAGCAAGAGUUCAGGGCCAAGUGAGUGAGUCAAUUCAGAGUGGCACUAGACUCUGGUGGUUAAAGCUCACCUUUGGCCCAGCAGAUGGGUGUAUCUGGGUGUUUUCUAUACCCCAGGGACAGGCAGACACACUGUGACCCAAAAUAUCUCAUCUGCUUGUGUCACCUUUCACUUCUACUGAUUAUCCAACCUGAAAUUCUCACCAAAUGCCAUUCUGAUUAGAGGGUCACCUAUUCAUUUAUCCAACAUUCCACCCAAUAUACGGCAGGACUGAUCCAAGAACCAGAGGCACAGAAGUGAAUUUCUACCUGCAGAGGCUGUUCUUUAAGUACAUUUGAUUAAUAAGAAAACAGAUUUUUGAUGAGUGAUCAGUGAACACACUAUGAGUCAACAAAGAAGAGCACUGUUAACCCUGCAUUGGAAGCUCUGGAGAAUUCCUCAGAGGAGGUAGCAUUUAGGCUGGUCUGGAAGGAAGAUGAGCCUGAUACUAAAAAUAUGGGGUGAGGAAGCUGGAUAAACAAAAGGACCAUUUAGCAAGACAGAAGAACAUGAGAAGAGAGAUUUUGUUGGAAAGGCAAUGGAGAUAAAUGGAUGAUACCAAAAGGCACGUAGAUACCCAUAAGCUUCCUGGCCCUGGAAUUCCUCACCAUGACCCACAAAGCUCUGGAUGUGGCUGCUUCCUGAUCUAUCCAGUGCUGCUCUUGUUCCUGCUCCAUGCACUCCAACAACACUGGCCUUCUGAAAAUUUUGUAGUCAUAGAACCAUUACUGCCUUUCCCUUUUUAGUUACUGUUCUAUAUGCCUCGAGUACUAUACACACCCUGCAGUUGGCAUGGCCCACCCCUUCUCUUGAUGGCUCUGCUGGAUGGUUCCUCAGCCCCAAACAGCAGGGUCCCUGGUGCUCUCAAUUGGGCAGGCCAUGAAGCCAGCGUUUCCUCUGCCCGGUGUGUUUGCCCAUACCUACUACACAAAGUCAUUAACCAGCAUUUAUGUCACUGUCCUAAGCUUGGCUGAGGGAUGAGGGUCGGGUGGCAGGUAAAGUGGGAAAUAAAAGUAAAAAUUGCUGAAAAUGAACAUGGAAUGAAGAGUGCUCUACACCCUUUUAUGUCUGUGAAGUCCAGCUUGCUGAGAGGUUGACUCACCACUAAAGCCAAAAAGCCUCUGGUUAGGAGAAAGGUGGUAGCUCUUUAAAACCAAAUCCAUUUCCCCUGCUAAGUGCAUUCAUUUCUCCUAAUCUGCACUGUGAGGCUGAUGAUCUUACCUUGCUUUUCUAUUCUCUCCCUCAUCUAGAAAACAAAGCUAUUUUUAAAACCACGAAUCUCUGACAAGAACAAAGUCAACAUUUUGGAAAAAUAGUGAUUUUUUUUAAAAAGUACCUUUUGA